GUUUAAAAACCAGGAGAUUCCUGAGGAACCCAACGAACUUCGUGGUUCAUACAACCAUAUCUCAAACUCCUUGAAUCCAACAGGAACACUGUUUCUGUAAAUAGAGUAUCAGAUGUUUGGAAGAUUAUGGAUUGGGCAGAUUUAAAAAGAGCAAGCGGUGCCCUCUUUAACUAGAUCAAGAAACCAGGGAUUGCAAGUAGGUUCUACUUAAAAGCCAGGCAAGAGACAUUCAGAUAAAUACUGGUUCCCAAAUGCAUCCUGGGAAUGUUAAGUGACUCCAUUGAAUGGUACUCCAGUCAUCUAUCUCAAAGGGAUGAAGGAAGGGCUAAGUCAAACCUGCAGGGGAAAUGAACCUGUGAACCCCCAAGGGUUGAAC